ACCUGCGGAAGGAUCAUUAAUGAAUUCACUAUGGAGUUGUUGCUGGCCUCUAGGGACAUGUGCACGCUUCACUAGUCUUUCAACCACCUGUGAACUUUUGAUAGAUCUGUGAAGUCGUCCUUCAAGUCGUCAGACUUGGUUUGCUGGGAUUUAAACGGCUCGGUGUGACAACGCAGUCUAUUUACUUAACACACCCCAAAUGUAUGUCUACGAAUGUCAUUUAAUGGGCCUUGUGUCUAUAAACCAUAAUACAACUUUCAACAACGGAUCUCUUGGCUCUCGCAUCGAUGAAGAACGCAGCGAAAUGUGAUAAGUAAUGUGAAUUGCAGAAUUCAGUGAAUCAUCGAAUCUUUGAACGCACCUUGCGCCCCUUGGUAUUCCGAGGGGCAUGCCUGUUUGAGUGUCAUUAAAUUCUCAAACUCACAUUUAUUUGUGAUGUUUGGAUUGUUGGGGGUUGCUGGCUGUAACAAGUCGGCUCCUCUUAAAUACAUUAGCAGGACUUCUCAUUGCCUCUGCGCAUGAUGUGAUAAUUAUCACUCAUCAAUAGCACGCAUGAAUAGAGUCCAGCUCUCUAAUCGUCCGCAAGGACAAUUUGACAAUUUGACCUCAAAUCAGGUAGGACUACCCGCUGAACUUAAGCAUAUCAAUAAGCGGAGGAAAAGAAACUAACAAGGAUUCCCCUAGUAACUGCGAGUGAAGCGGGAAAAGCUCAAAUUUAAAAUCUGGUGGUCUUUGGCCAUCCGAGUUGUAAUCUAGAGAAGUGUUAUCCGCACUGGACCGUGUACAAGUCUCC
rnacentral:rRNA from 1 species